UCGUAGGUGGCAAGCGUUGUCCGGAUUACUGGCGUAAGGGCGUGCAGGCGGUCUGCUAAGUCUAGGGUGAAAGCUCCCGGCUCAACUGGGAGAGGUCCUUGGAUACUGGCGGACUUGAGGGAGGUAGAGAGAGUGGAAUUCCCGGUGUAAGUGGUGAUAUGCGUAGAUAUCGGGAGGAACACCAGUGGCGAAGGCGGUUGCCUGGAGCUUUGCUGACGCUGAUGCGCGAAAGCGUGGGAGCGUCCGG
rnacentral:rRNA from 1 species